rnacentral:tmRNA from 1 species
GGGGCUGAUUUAGUUUUAGACAAAAGGAUUUUAAUAAUUUAUCUUGCAAGUCGGUUACUCGUAAAGUAAUAAAUAAUUGCAAAAUCUAAUUUUGUAGCAAAAGCUAAGGCUCUUUUUGCGCCUAAGGUAGCUUUUGCGCCAAUCGCCGCUUAGUUAAUUGGCGAUCAUUGGUUUAUGUAUUUCAGUAGAUAUAUAAACCGGUGCUAUUUUUAAUACUGAUAGCUCAAUAUGAUAGGUAGCAGCCUUUGAGUGAAAAUUUAGCUACGACUUUUGAUGUAUUUUUGCUUAUAUUUUAAGCAUCAAAUUUUAUUCUAAAAUAAGCUAAGCUUGUAGAUAGGUAAAUUAUUACCUUUUGGACCCGAGGGCAGUUCUCGGCAGCUCCACCA